rnacentral:lncRNA from 1 species
UUCUACAACUUCACCCCUAUCCACGUGGGUGUAUUCAGAGGACGAUACUCGAACUGGAAUGGUGAAAUUUGUUGCCGCCACUGAGUUGCCUCUGACUAUUGCAGACAACCAACACUUCGUCUCGUUCGUGAAAGAAUAUCUACAACCGAGGUACGUUGGGGUAAGUCGAAACACUCUUCGUGCCGAUACAAUAAAUUAUUUCAAU